rnacentral:rRNA from 1 species
GGCGGACGGGUGAGUAAUACGUGGGAAUCUGCCUAUAGGUGGGGGAUAGCCCGGAGAAAUCCGGAUUAAUACCGCAUAAUACCUGAGGGUUAAAACGGAGGAUCGCAAGACUUCGUGCCUAUAGAUGAGCCCACGUCAGAUUAGCUAGUUGGUAGGGUAAAGGCCUACCAAGGCGACGAUCUGUAGCUGGCCUGAGAGGGUGGCCAGCCACACUGGAACUGAGACACGGUCCAGACUCCUACGGGAGGCAGCAGUGGGGAAUAUUGGACAAUGGGCGCAAGCCUGAUCCAGCCAUGCCGCGUGUGUGAAGAAGGCCUUCGGGUUGUAAAGCACUUUAAGUUGGGAGGAAGGUUGCUUGGCUAAUAUCCAAGUGAAUUGACGUUACCAACAGAAUAAGCACCGGCUAAUUCCGUGCCAGCAGCCGCGGUAAUACGGAAGGUGCGAGCGUUAAUCGGAAUUACUGGGCGUAAAGCGCACGUAGGCGGUUACUUAAGUCGGAUGUGAAAGCCCUGGGCUUAACCUGGGAAUUGCAUCCGAUACUGGGUGACUAGAGUACGGUAGAGGGGGGUGGAAUUCCAGGUGUAGCGGUGAAAUGCGUAGAGAUCUGGAGGAACACCGGUGGCGAAGGCGGCCCCCUGGACUGAUACUGACGCUGAGGUGCGAAAGCGUGGGGAGCAAACA